UUAUGAUGCUUUAUUGUGGAGCUUGAGAAAAUGUAUGAAUUUUCAGGUUUGUGAGAACCCAGCUCAUGGUGAGAAUCACCAAUUGAUGUCCCCCGCCUCAGAAGUGGUUAGACUAUUGUUCAAGCCAAACUAUUGCAUCUUGGGUUUGACUGGUGGUGUGAAGACUCAGACUAAUGAUAUGAAAUCGUCCUGUUUCAAGAAUUCCCAAUUGCUUUACCUAGAAGGGUAGGUGGGUUUUUUAAAUUAUCCUUAAUUAACUUGUUAUUUAAUCAGCCUUACAGCUGCCUCUCAUUCUGCUUACUUAGAAAGAUGCCCACCUUUGUGCCCAUGCGCACCCAUACCUCCACCUGCCAGACCAGUGGCUAGGAGAUCAGAUUCAGAACCCAGUGUCUGUGUUCGAAGCAUAUAAAGGACAUUCCAAUGGUGGGAAGACAAAGAAGGUGAAGAAGGAGGGUUUCAAGUCAGUAGGGAUUUUCUUGGGGGAGCCAAUCUAUAAUGAUAGGGAGGUGAGUUGGAAC
rnacentral:lncRNA from 1 species